rnacentral:rRNA from 1 species
UGGGGAAUAUUGGACAAUGGGCGCAAGCCUGAUCCAGCCAUGCCGCGUGUGUGAAGAAGGCCUUUUGGUUGUAAAGCACUUUAAGCGAGGAGGAGGCUACUUGGAUUAAUACUCUAGGAUAGUGGACGUUACUCGCAGAAUAAGCACCGGCUAACUCUGUGCCAGCAGCCGCGGUAAUACAGAGGGUGCGAGCGUUAAUCGGAUUUACUGGGCGUAAAGUGUGCGUAGGCGGCUUUUUAAGUCGGAUGUGAAAUCCCUGAGCUUAACUUAGGAAUUGCAUUCGAUACUGGGAAGCUAGAGUAUGGGAGAGGAUGGUAGAAUUCCAGGUGUAGCGGUGAAAUGCGUAGAGAUCUGGAGGAAUACCGAUGGCGAAGGCAGCCAUCUGGCCUAAUACUGACGCUGAGGUACGAAAGCAUGGGGAGCAAACAGG